GACGAACGCUGGCGGCGUGCCUAAUACAUGCAAGUCGAACGCUUCUUUCCUCCCGAGUGCUUGCACUCAAUUGGAAAGAGGAGUGGCGGACGGGUGAGUAACACGUGGGUAACCUACCCAUCAGAGGGGGAUAACACUUGGAAACAGGUGCUAAUACCGCAUAACAGUUUAUGCCGCAUGGCAUAAGAGUGAAAGGCGCUUUCGGGUGUCGUUGAUGGAUGGACCCGCGGUGCAUUAUCUAGUUGGUGAGGUAACGGCUCACCAAGGCCACGAUGCAUAGCCGACCUGAGAGGGUGAUCGGCCACACUGGGACUGAGACACGGCCCAGACUCCUACGGGAGGCAGCAGUAGGGAAUCUUCGGCAAUGGACGAAAGUCUGACCGAGCAACGCCGCGUGAGUGAAGAAGGUUUUCGGAUCGUAAAACUCUGUUGUUAGAGAAGAACAAGGACGUUAGUAACUGAACGUCCCCUGACGGUAUCUAACCAGAAAGCCACGGCUAACUACGUG
rnacentral:rRNA from 1 species